GGUCAAGUGAAUAAGUGCAUACGAUGGAUGCCUUGGCAGUAGAAGGCGAUGAAGGACGUGAUAAUCUGCGAUAAGCUUCGGUUAGCUGAUAAUAAGCUCUAACCCGGAGAUCUCC
rnacentral:rRNA from 1 species